rnacentral:rRNA from 1 species
UGGGAUAAGCCUGGGAAACUGGGUCUAAUACCGGAUAUGACCGACUAUCGCAUGGUGGUUGGUGGAAAGCUUUUGUGGUUUUGGAUGGACUCGCGGCCUAUCAGCUUGUUGGUGGGGUAAUGGCCUACCAAGGCGACGACGGGUAGCCGGCCUGAGAGGGUGACCGGCCACACUGGGACUGAGACACGGCCCAGACUCCUACGGGAGGCAGCAGUGGGGAAUAUUGCACAAUGGGCGCAAGCCUGAUGCAGCGACGCCGCGUGAGGGAUGACGGCCUUCGGGUUGUAAACCUCUUUCAGUAGGGAAGAAGCGAGAGUGACGGUACCUGCAGAAGAAGCGCCGGCUAACUACGUGCCAGCAGCCGCGGUAAUACGUAGGGCGCAAGCGUUAUCCGGAAUUAUUGGGCGUAAAGAGCUCGUAGGCGGUUUGUCGCGUCUGCCGUGAAAGUCCGGGGCUCAACUCCGGAUCUGCGGUGGGUACGGGCAGACUAGAGUGAUGUAGGGGAGACUGGAAUUCCUGGUGUAGCGGUGAAAUGCGCAGAUAUCAGGAGGAACACCGAUGGCGAAGGCAGGUCUCUGGGCAUUAACUGACGCUGAGGAGCGAAAGCAUGGGGAGCGAACAGGAUUAGAUACCCUGGUAGUCCAUGCCGUAAACGUUGGGCACUAGGUGUGGGGGACAUUCCACGUUUUCCGCGCCGUAGCUAACGCAUUAAGUGCCCCGC